UCAGAGCUGUACUGCUUCAAGUGUACAGGGGAAGAGCAGGUUACGCAGCUCUCCAUAAAGGGAACAGAGCUAUAACCAGUACUGAAGUGCUCCGGACUUUGGCCAGUCUGUCUGAGGGUAUCAUCAUCUGCUUCAUUUAUAGCAGAUAGGAAUAAGCAACUGGAAAAGGGUUCCUCUAACAGAUUCAAGCACAGACUGUGUUGGACUUUGAACUUAACCGAAAAAUCCUGCAAAAGAUUUCUCCAUCGUCAACACACCUUGGCUACAGCAGCUCCAAGUUCAGAUCAAUUUUUAAGUCAAGAGGGACCAUAUCAUAUCAUCCGAUCUCUUACAGCAACACAGGUCAAAGGAUUUCACCCACUCAGUCCCUGUGGUGCAUAGGGUUCCUUGCAUGUGACUACGACAUUUCUCAAGGUGAUCAGCCGGUGGCCAGUCACAAACUGGUGAUCAGCUUGUCAUAUCCUGAAUGGCUCUGUGGAACCAUGUGUCUUUAUAGUGUUCUCUAUUAAAAGCUUUACAAUAAAAGAUAUGUGACAAGAAA